UCUAAAACAUGGAAGUUUUUUUUUUCUAUUUUUAAUAGUUUCUUAUGGAUAGGAGGCUCGUGUGAGCGUUUAGCCUGUCCCGUCCUUAAUUCUGAACCCACUGGCUGGUGCAGAAGAACGGUCGUGUGACAAAAACAGCAUGAAAUUUGUCCCUGUGCCGGAUGCGUCCCGUGGUAAAGGAGUACAUCUGUUAUUCCGGCGUGAAAGAUGUUUGAUGAGCGUAUCGCAUCGUCAGAGCUGCUCUUGGUCUGCCUGCAAGCCGUGGGUUAUGAUUUAGAAAUACGUUCGCCUACCGUUCCUUAACUGUGUGGUUUUGGGUUUUAUUUUUUCAAAGAAAGGGUGGCUUUUUCGUCGAUCUCUUUGUGAGAGUAUCAAAUCAGGUGGCGGUAAAUACAUAGAAGCAGCUAGGCGUACUACGGCGUGUACCGGACAGCGUUGGCGUGCCGCUCUGCUAGCAGUGGAGAGCCAGAUGAGGAUGCCCGUGAUAUGAGAAAAGCUCUGUCCAGAGAUAUGGAGACGAAAUCAGUUGUACCUCAUCCUGUGACACCGGAAGACAUUGAGUAACUCGUCCUGCAGCUGGCUCCUCGGUUUUGGCGGCAGCCUGCACAUAGCAGCCCAGCUCUCCAGCAGCCUGACGGACCGACCGUGUGUCUGUUCCACGCCGGACUGGUGAGCGUGGCUCUGGGUAGGACAGCCGAGGUGCCCCAGGGCCGGGCCCCGAGCCCCGGUGCGGAGUCUCUCCCGGGACCGGCUCUGUG